rnacentral:misc_RNA from 1 species
UACGGAGGGUGCAAGCGUUGUUCGGAUUCACUGGGUAUAAAGGGUGCGCAGGCGGCCUGGUAAGUCAGGGGUGAAAUAUGACGGCUCAACCGUCAAACUGCCCCUGAAACUGCCUGGCUUGAGUCCGGGAGAGGAAGGUGGAAUUCCUGGUGUAGCGGUGAAAUGCGUAAAUAUCAGGAGGAAUACCGGUGGCGAAGGCGGCCUUCUGGCCCGGUACUGACGCUCAUGCACGAAAGCCAGGGGAGCGAACGGG